AGCCCAGACCGCCAGCUAAGGUCCCUAAUUAUGUCUAAGUGGGAAAGGAGGUGGACAUUCAUAGACAACCAGGAGGUUGGCUUAGAAGCAGCCAUGCCUUGAAAGAGUGCGUAAUAGCUCACUGGUCGAGAGUGCCUGCGCCGAAGAUGUAACGGGGCUAAGACAUAAACCGAAGCUGCGGAAGAUACACUGUAUCUUGGUAGGAGAGCGUUCUGUAGGCCGUCGAAGGGAUGCCGCAAGGCCGUCCUGGAGGUAUCAGAAGCGAGAAUGCAGGAAUGAGUAGCGAGAAGGCGGGCGAGAAUCCCGCCGGCCGGAAGUCCAAGGUUUCCAGGGGAAGGCUUGUCCGCCCUGGGGAAGUCGGGACCUAAGCAUAAGCAAAAUUGUGACGGCGAAUGGAAAACAGGUUAAUAUUCCUGUACCGCUGUUAUCGCUUGAGAGACGGAGUGACGCAGGAAGGUAUGCGAGAAGGCUGACGGUUUAGCCUUUCUAAGGGCCCAGCGUGGGCGUGCAGGCAAAUCCGCACGCCUAAACGUGAGACCUGACGGGGAAGUGCAUUUGCAUAAGUCGCAGAUCCUACACUGCCAAGAAAAACUUCUAUCGAUGAGAACCAGCGCCCGUACUGUAAACCGACACAGGUGGACAGAGUGAGAAACUUAAGGCCGACAGGAUAACUCUAGCUAAGGAACUCUGCAAAAUAGCCCCGUAACUUCGGGAGAAGGGGUGCCUGACAUACCUGAAGGAGAGAAGCGCUCCCAGGGGAAACAGGCCGCAGUGAAGAGUCUCAAGCAACUGUUUACCAAAAACACAGGUCUAUGCUAAGCUGAAAGGCGACGUAUAUGGGCUGACACCUGCCCAGUGCCGGAAGGUUAAGAGGAGGAGUGAGAGCUCCGAUUUGAAGCCCCGGUGAACGGCGGCCGUAACUAUAACGGUCCUAAGGUAGCGAAAUUCCUUGUCGGGUAAGUUCCGACCUGCACGAAUGGUGAAAUGAUUUGAGAGCUGUCUUGGCUGGAGACCUGGUGAAGUUGUAAUGCCGGUGAAGAUACCGGCUACCUGCAGUAGGACGGAAAGACCCCGUGGAGCUUUACUGUAGCUUGGCAUUGGGUUCUGGCAAUGUGUGUAUAGGAUAGUUGGGAGACUGUGAUGCAAUGGCGUCAGCCAUUGCUGAGUCGCUGUUGGAAUACCAACCAUAUGCUGUCGGAAUUCUAAUCUGGCAACGGAGACAGUGCUAGGUGGGCAGUUUGACUGGGGCGGUCGCCUCCCAAAGAGUAACGGAGGCGUUCAAAGGUUCCCUCAGGCUGGAUGGAAAUCAGCCUAAGAGUGCAAACGCAUAAGGGAGCUUGACUGCAAGACUGACGGGUCGAGCAGGUACGAAAGUAGGAGUUAGUGAUCCGGCGGUUCCGCAUGGAAGGACCGUCGCUCAACGGAUAAAAGCUACCCCGGGGAUAACAGGCUGAUACUUCCCAAGAGUCCAUAUCGACGGAAGUGUUUGGCACCUCGAUGUCGGCUCGUCUCAUCCUGGGGCUGGAGAAGGUCCCAAGGGUUGGGCUGUUCGCCCAUUAAAGAGGCACGCGAGCUGGGUUCAGAACGUCGUGAGACAGUUCGGUCCCUAUCCACUGCAGGCGCCUGAAUAUUGAAAAGAUCUGACCUUAGUACGAGAGGACCGGGUUGGACAGACCUCUGAUGUAUCAGUUGUCACGCCAGUGGCAUGGCUGAGUAGUCACGUCUGGUACGGAUAACCGCUGAAAGCAUCUAAGCGGGAAGCCGGCUUUGAGAUGAAUAUUCGUAGUAUCCAUAGAGAACAUAUGGUCGAUAGGCUAGGGGUGCAAGUGCAGCAAUGCAUUUAGCUGACUAGUACUAAUAUUACGUCUGCUUUUAAGAU
rnacentral:rRNA from 1 species